rnacentral:tRNA from 1 species
GCCGAAGUGGUGGAAUUGGUAGACACGCUAGCUUGAGGGGUUAGUGACCUUCGGUCGUGCCGGUUCAAGUCCGGCCUUCGGCACCA